rnacentral:rRNA from 1 species
AUUGAACGCUAGCGGGAUGCUUUACACAUGCAAGUCGAACGGCAGCGCGGACUUCGGUCUGGCGGCGAGUGGCGAACGGGUGAGUAAUGUAUCGGAACGUGCCCAGUAGCGGGGGAUAACUACGCGAAAGCGUAGCUAAUACCGCAUACGCCCUACGGGGGAAAGCCGGGGAUCGUAAGACCUUGCACUCUUGGAGCGCCCGAUAUCGGAUUAGCUAGUUGGUGAGGUAACGGCUCACCAAGGCGACGAUCCGUAGCUGGUUUGAGAGGACGACCAGCCACACUGGGACUGAGACACGGCCCAGACUCCUACGGGAGGCAGCAGUGGGGAAUUUUGGACAAUGGGGGCAACCCUGAUCCAGCCAUCCCGCGUGUGCGAUGAAGGCCUUCGGGUUGUAAAGCACUUUUGGCAGGAAAGAAACGUCGCGGGCUAAUACCCCGUGGAACUGACGGUACCUGCAGAAUAAGCACCGGCUAACUACGUG